GUUGUACUCCCUCUGUCCCAAAAUAAGUGUCUUGAGCUUAGUACAAAUUUGUACUAGGGCUAGUACAAAAUUGAGACACUUAUUUUGGGACAGAGGGAGUAUAUU
rnacentral:pre_miRNA from 1 species